AAGUUGUUAGCUCAACUGUUGAGAGCAUCGUGCCUGCACCGUGAGGUUCUAGGUUCAAGUCCCACAUAAUGUG